CAUGCAGUAGAACGCUGAAGAGAGGAGCUUGCUCUUCUUGGAUGAGUUGCGAACGGGUGAGUAACGCGUAGGUAACCUGCCUUGUAGCGGGGGAUAACUAUUGGAAACGAUAGCUAAUACCGCAUAACAAUGGAUGACACAUGUCAUUUAUUUGAAAGGGGCAAUUGCUCCACUACAAGAUGGACCUGCGUUGUAUUAGCUAGUAGGUGAGGUAAUGGCUCACCUAGGCGACGAUACAUAGCCGACCUGAGAGGGUGAUCGGCCACACUGGGACUGAGACACGGCCCAGACUCCUACGGGAGGCAGCAGUAGGGAAUCUUCGGCAAUGGGGGCAACCCUGACCGAGCAACGCCGCGUGAGUGAAGAAGGUUUUCGGAUCGUAAAGCUCUGUUGUAAGUCAAGAACGGGUGUGAGAGUGGAAAGUUCACACUGUGACGGUAGCUUACCAGAAAGGGACGGCUAACUACGUGCCAGCAGCCGCGGUAAUACGUAGGUCCCGAGCGUUGUCCGGAUUUAUUGGGCGUAAAGCGAGCGCAGGCGGUUUGAUAAGUCUGAAGUUAAAGGCUGUGGCUCAACCAUAGUUCGCUUUGGAAACUGUCAAACUUGAGUGCAGAAGGGGAGAGUGGAAUUCCAUGUGUAGCGGUGAAAUGCGUAGAUAUAUGGAGGAACACCGGUGGCGAAAGCGGCUCUCUGGUCUGUAACUGACGCUGAGGCUCGAAAGCGUGGGGAGCGAACAGGAUUAGAUACCCUGGUAGUCCACGCCGUAAACGAUGAGUGCUAGGUGUUGGAUCCUUUCCGGGAUUCAGUGCCGCAGCUAACGCAUUAAGCACUCCGCCUGGGGAGUACGACCGCAAGGUUGAAACUCAAAGGAAUUGACGGGGGCCCGCACAAGCGGUGGAGCAUGUGGUUUAAUUCGAAGCAACGCGAAGAACCUUACCAGGUCUUGACAUCCCGAUGCUAUUUCUAGAGAUAGAAAGUUACUUCGGUACAUCGGUGACAGGUGGUGCAUGGUUGUCGUCAGCUCGUGUCGUGAGAUGUUGGGUUAAGUCCCGCAACGAGCGCAACCCCUAUUGUUAGUUGCCAUCAUUCAGUUGGGCACUCUAGCGAGACUGCCGGUAAUAAACCGGAGGAAGGUGGGGAUGACGUCAAAUCAUCAUGCCCCUUAUGACCUGGGCUACACACGUGCUACAAUGGUUGGUACAACGAGUUGCGAGUCGGUGACGGCGAGCUAAUCUCUUAAAGCCAAUCUCAGUUCGGAUUGUAGGCUGCAACUCGCCUACAUGAAGUCGGAAUCGCUAGUAAUCGCGGAUCAGCACGCCGCGGUGAAUACGUUCCCGGGCCUUGUACACACCGCCCGUCACACCACGAGAGUUUGUAACACCCGAA
rnacentral:rRNA from 1 species